rnacentral:rRNA from 1 species
GACGAACGCUGGCGGCGUGCUUAACACAUGCAAGUCGAACGGAAAGGCCCUGCUUUUGUGGGGUGCUCGAGUGGCGAACGGGUGAGUAACACGUGAGUAACCUGCCCUUGACUUUGGGAUAACUUCAGGAAACUGGGGCUAAUACCGGAUAGGAGCUCCUGCUGCAUGGUGGGGGUUGGAAAGUUUCGGCGGUUGGGGAUGGACUCGCGGCUUAUCAGCUUGUUGGUGGGGUAGUGGCUUACCAAGGCUUUGACGGGUAGCCGGCCUGAGAGGGUGACCGGCCACAUUGGGACUGAGAUACGGCCCAGCCUCCUACGGGAGGCAGCAGUGGGGAAUAUUGCACAAUGGGCGGAAGCCUGAUGCAGCAACGCCGCGUGCGGGAUGACGGCCUUCGGGUUGUAAACCGCUUUCGCCUGUGACGAAGCGUGAGUGACGGUACUGGGUAAAGAAGCACCGGCUAACUACGUG